rnacentral:rRNA from 1 species
CAUGGUAGCAUGAUAACGGACUACACGGCACGUAUCCUACGCGUUUCAGACAUUUAAGCCUACAUCGAACUUAGAUCAGUCCAGGAUUCGUACGAGCAGCAAUGGAAUAUGCCCAAUCGAGCAAGGCCUGAGCGCUUGCCGCGGUUUGAGAAGCAUCGGUCGUAAGUUACUUUCAGUCGUGAGGAGACGAGUCGUUGAAGCGCGUGUUUGACCGUCAGCGACAGAAGAAGCACUGGCUAAGUCCGUGCCAGCCAGUCGCGGUAAUAACGGAGGGUGCUAGCGUUAAUCAGAAUUACUUGGCGUAAAAGCGCAUGCAGGUGGUUUGUUUAAGUAAGAUGUGAAAGCCCGGGGCUCACCCUCGGCAUUGCAUUGAAACUGGCAGACUAGAAGUACUGUAGAGGGGGGUAGAAUUUCAGGUGUAGCGGUGAAAAUGCGUAGAGAUCUGAAGGAAUACCGGUGGCGAGGGCGGCCCCCCGGGACAGAUACUGACACUCAGAUGCGAUAGCGUGGGGAGCAAACAGGAUUAGAUACCCUGGUAGUCCACGCCGUAAACGAUGUCUACUUGGAGGUUGUGGCCUGAGCCGUGGCUUUCGGAGCUAACGCGUUAAGUAGACCGCCUGGGGAGUACGGUCGCAAGAUUAAAACUCAAAUGAAUUGACGGGGGCCCGCACAAGCGGUGGAGCAUGUGGUUUAAUUCGAUGCAACGCGAAGAACCUUACCUACUCUUGACAUCCAGAGAACUUUCCAGAGAUGGAUUGGUGCCUUCGGGAACUCUGAGACAGGUGCUGCAUGGCUGUCGUCAGCUCGUGUUGUGAAAUGUUGGGUUAAGUCCCGCAACGAGCGCAACCCUUAUCCUUGUUUGCCAGCGAGUAAUGUCGGGAACUCCAGGGAGACUGCCGGUGAUAAACCGGAGGAAGGUGGGGACGACGUCAAGUCAUCAUGGCCCUUACGAGUAGGGCUACACACUGCUACAAUGGCGCAUACAGAGGGCGGCCAACUUGCGAAAGUGAGCGAAUCCCAAAAAUGCGUCGUAGUCCGGAUUGGAGUCUGCAACUCGACUCCAUGAAGUAGGAAUCGCUUGUAAUCGUGGAUCAGAAUACCACAAAA